ensembl:ncRNA M60.14 ncRNA
GAAUGUAGAGACCACCGGUUCGGUAGGCCGACUGUUUUUAAAAUGAAACGGCUGCGGUUUUUGAGUCUCUUCGGCUGGGAGGCUUGGCUUCCCGCCCACUCCUCCCCUCCCAAAUAUAACGACCUUC